ensembl:lncRNA
CCGUAAUGGCUUCUGACUGUACUCUAAAAUAUUCUGACCUCAUAGUGAAAUUUCUGUAUCUGUGAACCCUCUCGGUUUAGACUAGGAGAUGAAUUCAUUCAAUUCAAUUCAUGUGUUUAAAGGCAUAACGGUGUUCUCAUUUCAGGGUUUGAGUUUUGUCUACUGGGGCAGUCCAGUCGGCUGGUGUGUGAUUCAUCUGUGCCUGCAUCAGCCGUAUCGAGUGCUGAAUCGAUGCUUCAGAAAACACAACGCCGCUGUUACCAUAACAACGACCUCUGACUGGACACAUGGAUCAUUUGUCUAAGGCAUUAUUUUACCUUGAUGUACAGUACACCUGCUCCAGCGUCAAAACAAUGGUGGACUGAUGACAGCUCACUCAGGGCGGAUCUAAGGUAAGACGACAAUCCAGUCUGUGCUGAAACGCUACUGUCAAUCAAACUAUCGUGGGAGGGGCCUGUCUGUGUGACGUCACAAAGACAGGCAUUUGAGAUCAGCUCGAUUUGAGAAACGGGUAAAGAUUUUAGAAGAUUCAAAAAAUGUUUAUUUUAAAUUAAAAUAAUUUUAGGGUGGUUGUGUACACACACUGCCAACACACAUUUCAGUUCAAUCAACGUAAAAGUGCAUGUAGCAUCCGAUGACUCCUUUAAAGUGUCAUGGCAGAGCAUUGAAGUCGACUAGUGGAUUAGUCGGUGCAACCCCAUAUAUAUAUAUUUUGACAAGAUUCCUAUGAUUUGCUUAAAGAAAAGUACUGUGAUUUUGCAAAAUAAAUUUCCGUCUCUCUCUUAAUUGGUUGCUUUCAUUCUCAACAGGUUUUUGGUGAAUGAUGGCUGUAGGGUCAAUGAGAAAUCAGCGGAGAGCCCUAAAUGUUUAUCCAGGCUGCUGACUGGUGCAAAUAGUCUUCUGGAGCACCAUCAGGUUUCAGGCCAGCUACCCUGCAUGGCUGCACUGCCACUAUAAAUCCACAAGCUGAUUAAACAGUAAAUUUAGCAUGCCUAUCAACUUACCAUUAACCAGGUUGCUGCUUUCAAAAACAUCAUUAAUCAAGCAGCAGAUAUGGAGGAAAAUAUCAGUCAUCGAUCCUGUGCACUUAUGACAGUUAACACUGCAGCAUAUUAGCAUUGAGCGGCCGCUGAUCUAUCAAUUACUUACCGACCACAUGAUUCGCCUGCUGCCCGCACUCAUUCUAAUUCUGCAUUUCCCUCUUCACUAAUGCAUUUCAACUGUUAUCUCAUAGGCUAAUGAAAGCAAACAAAUCAAUAAAUAUAAAUUAUACAUGCGAGGAUGUACCGCUGCCAACAUAAAGCCCCUAAUUAAUUGCACUUGAUUAAUUUAUAUACUUUAAUUAUCUCUCUAAGCCACACGAGGCAUAAAUAUCAGGACAAUCUGCUUAUUGCUAUGUCAGUCAUAAAACGGCAGACGCUGGGAAACGAUUAGCACAGCCAGAAUAUCGUCAAUGGGAAACACACAGUUGCUGACAGAAAAAAGUCAAAGCACUGAAUAAUUUAAAGUAAGCAAAAGCAGCACAAAAUGAGUGAAGGCCUGGAACAAGACCACUGCUUUUAUUUUAUGCAUCCCGGCUUUAAUAUGGUAAGUGAUUCGUACUGCAUGUUGCGCAAACAACACGAACAACAAGUCUAGCACAGAAACGAGCCAUUUCUCCUCUCGGUUACUGUUCAGCGUCUCAUUCAUCUAGUCUAACAUAUUAAUAAAAAUAGAAAUCGAAAAAUUACAACUAUUAUGUUGACACAAUAAAAUGCAUUCAUUUAAUAUUGUACUGCAGCUGAUUUACUUUUAAUUGCAAUUUAAAUGAAUUUGUAAUGUUAAUCAUUCAUUGGCCUACAUUCAGUUUUUGAAAAUAAAUAAAUAAAUAAAAAGGCAAUCCACCAGUCUUGGAUAUGGCAUGCUCUAGAGAAAUUAACAAAAUUGAACACGUUGCUUUUCAACACCUGAUAAUAAUGAUAAUAUUCCAUUAUGAAGAAAUCUAAGGAACAAAAUCAAUUUAUGAGCCUGUCUUGCAGCCGAGGCCUUUAGGGGAGAUGGCCCAAGGAAGGCAAACAAUAUAAUCAAAGAAAUGUAAGAGAGAAUGAGUGUGAAAAAAAGUGCAAAAAAGUAAAGGGGGGGUUGUAAAUGAGUUUUAGGAAUGUGAAAGAGGAGUUACGUCCUGAUUCCUGUUAAUUACGGUUUUUAGAACAAUUAGCCCAACAGGGAGCAUGACAGAAUAAUUAUGGUAUCCGUGGUUACAGUGGAACAUUAAUGUGUCCAGGUACAGUAAAUAUGUCGGAGCCCGAGGUGACGCGACCUUGCACCCCUCACAGCCGCAUCUUGAUAUGUACUAAAUUGUCUGCCCUUGUGAAACUGUGUCCUAAUGGGCUUUAGAAAAUUACAGUGUCUGCCACGGGUCUUAUCUCUUUAAACAAAGAACUUGUUUCUUUUUUAUUUUUUAAGUUUGUGCUAAUUAUACAUCUUCAGCAAUUGGAUUUGUGACAGUUACAGAGACUGCUGAUGUGUCCAUAGUUUCCACUUAAGCUUUAGACCUCCGACACAGCAGCUCGCCUGGACUUUAUGGAGUAACAGAAGCCGGUGUGCUGUAUAGGUGCUUGCAGACAAAACAAUUGGAGUGCAUAAAUGCCAGACUGUACAUAAAAACACCUGAGAGAAUUUGGCUGAAACAUCAAACACACCCUAUACACAGCAUACACACAUUCGUCUGUUAACGUGCCAGUGACUACAGAGAGAACAGAGCUCCUUGUCUCUCUUCGAUUUGGGUGUUUUAUCUAUAGAGCUCAAACUACCAGAGAAGGAACUCAGCAGACAAACUUUGUAUGUUUCGAACAUAAAUAAUAUAAAUACACUACUGUUUAAAAGUUUGGUGUUGGUAAGAUGUUUUAAUGUUUGUUUUUGAAUGUUCACGAUUUGCAUUUGAUCUUAAAAUACACAUAUCUUCCAUGUGGAGAUUUCAUUGACACAGUCACCUACACAAUAUGUAUUGUGAAAAGUGCUAAAAAAUAAACAUGAAUUAAACCGGAAGAAGUCUCUGAUGUUUACCAAAUGCUGCAUUUAUUUGAUCAAAAACACAGUAAAAACUGU